rnacentral:rRNA from 1 species
AUUGAACGCUGGCGGCAUGCCUUACACAUGCAAGUCGAACGGCAGCACGGGAGCAAUCCUGGUGGCGAGUGGCGAACGGGUGAGUAAUAUAUCGGAACGUGCCCAGUCGUGGGGGAUAACGUAGCGAAAGCUACGCUAAUACCGCAUACGAUCUAUGGAUGAAAGCGGGGGAUCGCAAGACCUCGCGCGAUUGGAGCGGCCGAUAUCAGAUUAGGUAGUUGGUGAGGUAAAGGCUCACCAAGCCGACGAUCUGUAGCUGGUCUGAGAGGACGACCAGCCACACUGGGACUGAGACACGGCCCAGACUCCUACGGGAGGCAGCAGUGGGGAAUUUUGGACAAUGGGCGCGAAGCCUGAUCCAGCAAUGCCGCGUGCAGGAUGAAGGCCUCGGUGUAAC